GAGCCACGUUGACUAUGUUGCUCCGAAUCACGCUGCUCGGCACGCUCGCGCGCACCUUCUGCGCCUCCACUCCGGGGACCUGGACGCAAAGAGGAUUGGAAUGUCAGUUUCGGAAAUUCAUUUCGACAUCGGCGGAGACGAUCACUGGCUACUCACGCGAGCGACCUCCGCUGUCGAAACAGUUGGCAGCGUCACUCCGGACGGCAGUUUAGACUUCGACUUGGCUGUCACGUGAAAUGGACACGUCAGAUGGACUGGUGGAUCAAGUCUGUAAAGGUUUGCGAAGGUGCCGGUGAAGAAAACUUACACGACGCAUUGCUGGUUCGAGCUGCUGACGGCGGACCCGGACUGGUCGAACACCAGAGGCAUCGUUGGAUUCAAGGCCACGGAUUGGCUCACGCUCGUCGUCACCUGAUUACAUCGUCGAGUGGGAAAUUAUAACAUUGAUAUUACGUCAGUCUAUUGGUUGGUAUUCGCUGGCUGUAAUAAAGAAGACUCUCGGGAUGCGCAAUCUUUGGAUAAUUGGAAGAGGCCCGUAAGAAGCCUGUGGCACUGGCGGAUUAGUUUGCGAAAUGAAGAAAUUACUUGACUUACCAAGUCGACGAGCCUAAUGUCGUCCAGGCGUUUCGCGCUCGAGGAUCCCGACCUCCCUCUCCUCCAGUGAAAACUACCGGUCAGUAGUCGCGGUCCGGAUUGGCCUCGACUUCAUCGACCAUCUCCGAUAAUGCAAGUUAGCUCAUCUUCGUCCAUACACACACAGUGGUCUUUGAGAAGCAGGCCUGGUGGUACGCAGCGACGGCCGACAUGCACACCCCGACGCUGCGGCGAAGUAACGGGACGCGGCGCGACCGACCGAUGCGCCGGAGCCGGUGUACAGCACGCGAAUGUGAUGUCUCGAAGUACAUAGAGCAGUGCCACGU